GAUGAACGCUGGCGGCGUGCCUAAUACAUGCCAGUCGAGCGAACGGACGAGGAGCUUGCUUCUCUGAUGUUAGCGGCGGACGGGUGAGUAACACGUGGAUCACCUACCUAUAAGACUGGGAUAACUUCGGGAAACCGGAGCUAAUCCCGGAUAAUCUUUUGAACCGCAUGGUUCAAAAGUGAAAGACGGUCUUGCUGUCACUUAUCGAUGGAUCCGCGCUGCAUUAGCUAGUUGGUAAGGUAACGGCUUACCAAGGCAACGAUGCGUAGCCGAGCUGAGAGGGUGAUCGGCCACACUGGAACUGAGACACGGUCCAGACUCCUACGGGAGGCAGCAGUAGGGAAUCUGCCGCAAUGGGCGAAAGCCUGACGGAGCAACGCCGCGUGAGUGAUGAAGGUCUUCGGAGCGUAAAACUCUGUUAUGAGGGAAAAACAGAUGUGUAAGUAGCUGUGCACAUCGUGACGGUACCUAAUCAGGAAGCCACGGCUAACUACGUG
rnacentral:rRNA from 1 species